UACAGAGGGGGCAAGCGUUAUUCGGAAUUAUUGGGCGUAAAGGGCGCGUAGGCGGCUUGGCAAGUGGAUGGUGAAAUCCCUCGGCUUAACCGAGGAACUGCCGUCCAAACUGCUUCGCUUGAGACCGGGAGAGGUGAGUGGAAUUCCCAGUGUAGCGGUGAAAUGCGUAGAUAUUGGGAGGAACACCAGUGGCGAAGGCGGCUAUCUGGACCGUAACUGACGCUGAGGCGCGAAAGCGUGGGGAGCGAACAGG
rnacentral:rRNA from 1 species